CCUACGGGCGGCAGCAGUGAGGAAUAUUGGUCAAUGGACGAGAGUCUGAACCAGCCAAGUAGCGUGAAGGAUGACGGCCCUAUGGGUUGUAAACUUCUUUUAUAUGGGAAUAAAAUGUGCCACGUGUGGGAUGUUGUAUGUACCAUAUGAAUAAGGAUCGGCUAACUCCGUGCCAGCAGCCGCGGUAAUACGGAGGAUCCGAGCGUUAUCCGGAUUUAUUGGGGUUAAAGGGAGCGUAGGGGGAUUGUUAAGUCAGUUGUGAAAGUUUGCGGCGCAACCGGAAAAUUGCCGUUGAAACUGGCAGUCUUGAGUACAGUAUCGGUGGGCGCCUUUCGUGUUGUAGCUG
rnacentral:rRNA from 1 species